rfam:Capsicum annuum cultivar Zunla-1 chromosome 6, whole genome shotgun sequence
UGAUGAUGGUGAGGGAAAUUUUUUAGCAUACUUUUAAAUCUCUCCCGAACUUAGUAGAGAUUCUCUCCUUCUUAUUGUCUGAAACUCAGAAUUUUGCUUCUCAAAUA